rnacentral:misc_RNA from 1 species
GAACGCACAUUGCGCCCGGUGGUAUUCCACCGGGCAUGCCUGUUCGAGCGUCAUUUCAACCCUCAAAAAUAUUGUAUUUUUGGUGUUGGAGGAAUACCUGUAACAGGGUACCCUCUGAAAUUUAGUGGCGGGCUCGCUAGAAUUUUGAGCGUAGUAAUUAUACCUCGUUUUUAAAGACUAGUGGGACUUCUUGCCGUAAAACCCCCCAAACUUUCUGAAAUUUGACCUCGGAUCAGGUAGGAAUACCCGCUGAACUUAAG